rnacentral:rRNA from 1 species
UAGUCCACGCCGUAAACGAUGAUUACUCGCUGUAGGCGAUACACAGCCUGUGGCUAAGCGAAAGUUUUAAGUAAUCCACCUGGGGAGUACGAUCGCGAGAUUGAAACUCAAAGGAAUUGACGGGGGCCCGCACAAGCGGAGGAACAUGUGGUUUAAUUCGAUGAUACGCGAGGAACCUUACCUGGACUUAAAUGUAGAUUGCAUAGCUUAGAGAUAGGCUUUUCUUCGGACUAUUUACAAGGUGCUGCAUGGUUGUCGUCAGCUCGUGCCGUGAGGUGUCGGGUUAAGUCCCAUAACGAGCGCAACCCCUAUCCUUAGUUGCCAUCAAGUAAAGUUGGGGACUCUAGUGAGACUGCCUACGCAAGUAGAGAGGAAGGCGGGGACGACGUCAAAUCAUCAUGGCCUUUAUGCCUAGGGCUACACACGUGCUACAAUGGUGAUGACAAAGGGUAGCGAGCUAGUGAUAGUCAGCAAAUCCCAAAAACAUCAUCUCAGUUCGGAGUUG